rnacentral:piRNA from 1 species
UAUGCAGCUAGAGUCAAGAGCUCCAGG